CAGUAGCCACGGGAAUACGGAGGGUGCAAGCGUUAAUCGGAAUUACUGGGCGUAAAGCGCACGCAGGCGGUCUGACAAGUCAGAUGUGAAAUCCCCGGGCUUAACCUGGAAACUGCAUUUGAAACUGUCAGGCUGGAGUCUUGUAGAGGGGGGUGGAAUUCCAGGUGUAGCGGUGAAAUGCGUAGAGAUCUGGAGGAAUACCGGUGGCGAAGGCGGCCCCCUGGACAAAGACUGACGCUCAGGUGCGAAAGCGUGGGGAGCAAACAGGAUUAGAUACCCGGGUAGUCCCUGUCUCUUAUAA
rnacentral:rRNA from 1 species